rnacentral:tRNA from 1 species
GAGUAUUUGCCCGAAUGGUUAAGGGGGUGGAACUAAGGUCUGCGUGGGUUCGAACCCCACAGCACUCA